rnacentral:rRNA from 1 species
CAGCGCCACGAGUGGCAACCAUAUUUAUUGGGCCUAAAGCGUCCGUAGCCGGCUUCGUAAAUCUUUUGUGAAAUCGUAGGGCUCAACUCUACGACGUGCAGGAGACACUGCGAAGCUUGGAACCGGGAGGAGUCAGAGGUAUUCUGGGGGGAGCGGUAAAAUGUUCUGAUCCCUGGAGGACCACCUGUGGCGAAGGCGUCUGACUAGAACGGAUUCGACGGUGAGGGACGAAAGCUGGGGGAGCAAACCGGAUUAGAUACCCGAGUAGUCC